GCGGAGGAUCAUUAUCGUAACAUUGAGGUGUUCUUGGCUGUCGCUGACUCUACUGGGUCGUGCACGCCUUGGGCAUUCUCAUCUACACAUCCAUCUCACCCCUUUGUGCAUCACCGCGUGGAUCCCCAUCCCUCCCUCUUUCAGGGGGGCUGGCCCACGCUUUUUUUUUAACACAAACAUUGUCAUUCUUGAAUGUCUUUUUUUUUUUGCAUUUUUUUUUGCAAUCAAUACAACUUUCAACAACGGAUCUCUUGGCUCUCGCAUCGAUGAAAAACGCAGCGAAAUGCGAUACGUAAUGGGAAUUGCAAAAUUCAGGGAAUCAUCGAAUCUUUGAACGCCCCUUGCACCCCUUGGAAUUCCAAGGGGUACCCCCGUUUGAGUGUCGGGAAAUUCUCACCCUCUCCAGUUUUCUUGGAAAGGCUUGGACAUUGGAGGCUUUUUAUUGCUGGCCUCUUCGGAGGUCGGCUCCUCUUAAAUGAAUUAGGGGGCUUCUCUCUGCCAUCCCCACUCGACGUGAUAAAAUUUCUCUACGUCCGAGGCCUGGCAUCGUGGGACCCGCUUCUAACCGUCUCUCCUCGAGACACCAUUUUGAACCCCUUGACCUCAAAUCGGGUGAGACUACCCGCUGAACUUAAGCAUAUCAAUAAGCGGA
rnacentral:rRNA from 1 species